UGUAUAUGUGUGUGUGUGUGUGUGUGUGUGUGUGUGUGUAUAUAUAUACACACACACACACACACACAUAUAUACACACAUAUAUA
rnacentral:miRNA from 11 species